GGGAGGCAGCAGUGGGGAAUAUUGCGCAAUGGGGGAAAGCCUGAUGCAGCAACGCCGCGUGAGUGAUGAAGGCCUUCGGGUUGUAAAGCUCUGUCUUCUGGGACGAUAAUGACGGUACCAGAGGAGGAAGCCACGGCUAACUACGUGCCAGCAGCCGCGGUAAU
rnacentral:rRNA from 1 species